UACGUAGGGUGCGAGCGUUAAUCGGAAUACUGGGCGUAAAGCGUGCGCAGGCGGUGAUGUAAGACCGAUGUGAAAUCCCCGGGCUUAACCUGGGAACUGCAUUGGUGACUGCAUCGCUCGAGUAUGGCAGAGGGGGGUAGAAUUCCACGUGUAGCAGUGAAAUGCGUAGAGAUGUGGAGGAAUACCGAUGGCGAAGGCAGCCCCCUGGGUCCAAUACUGACGCUCAUGCACGAAAGCGUGGGGAGCAAACAGG
rnacentral:rRNA from 1 species